CCAACCCUAAAACCCUCCCUUCUUCAAACCUCAAACCAGAACUGCCUGGAGCUCUUUUUUUCCUCUGCAUUCUAAGACUUGGCUCCUCCCAUCUGCUCUGGUUGGACAAUCCCAGGAGUCUCUCUCUAAGCUCCUCCCCCUUUCUAACCACACUCAAGAUGGCUGCCUGGCAUUCCUCAACAAAAUGUAUGCCUACCCCACUCACUGUUACCCAGGCUUCAUCCCUGGCCUAAUAGAUUGGUCUCCAUCUGGCUUAUGCUUGCCCUCAGAAAAAACAUUUGGUCUAAGCAACUGUUCUGCUGCCGAGAGUCCACUGGUUGUCCUUUGCCAUCGAUUAUGCUAACACCGUACAGAGUCAACAGGAGGUUCACCA
rnacentral:lncRNA from 11 species